AGCUUCGGCUGAUCUGUGCACUUCGGAAGAUAGUUGACUGGCCAACUAGCCGAAGAUGCGCUAACAGAUACGAUGAGUGUUCGGACUCAAAAAACACGAGAGGAGAAUUCUUCCUUUCGCACAACCACGCUUUAACGCACUGCGUUCAGGCGCACUCUACCAGUGUAUAUGUGCAUUGGAAAAAAGACUGUAAACAGAUAGCUUGAUUCUUCUCAAUAAGAUUCGAGCAAAAAUUGCAGCCUUAAGAGUAUAACAGGGAAUCACAAAAGAUAGUCGCUAGGACGGUCGAGGUGAACUAAUCCCAAUAUCUGCCCACAAGGCGGACAAAAAAAAAA